GAUGAAGAACGCAGCGAAAUGCGAUAAGUAAUGUGAAUUGCAGAAUUCAGUGAAUCAUCGAAUCUUUGAACGCACAUUGCGCCCUCUGGUAUUCCGGGGGGCAUGCCUGUCCGAGCGUCAUUGCUGCCCUCAAGCACGGCUUGUGUGUUGGGCUUCCGUCCCUGGCAACGGGGACGGGCCCAAAAGGCAGUGGCGGCACCAUGUCUGGUCCUCGAGCGUAUGGGGCUUUGUCACCCGCUCCCGUAGGUCCAGCUGGCAGCUAGCCUCGCAACCAAUCUUUUUAACCAGGUUGACCUCGGAUCAGGUAGGGAUACCCGCUGAACUUAAGCAUAUCAAUAAGCGGAGGA
rnacentral:misc_RNA from 1 species